GAAAUCCACCGCUCAAAGACUUGGAAAAGAUCCUCAACAAACAAUUAGAAAAUUCCAUCCAGCUAGUACUCCUCGGGCGUUAUCCACAGUGAGUCGUGGAAACCUAGCGCCGCCGCCACUUCGCUCCUUGGCGGCGCCUCUCCGGUGGAUCCAGCCACUUACCUGGUCCUUUCCUUGGCGGUGAUCUGGCGGACGAAUCUGAGAUCCCAUCUGGCCAGUCUAGGUGCCCUUUCCGGUCCAUGCCUUGCUCCUCUUUCCCUGCCCUCUUACACCGAGCAGUACCGGCCCAUGGUGGUUCGAAUCCAGACAAAUCCUCCUCCAUUGCUGAUGCGUCUGCCAUUAGUGGGAUUUGGCAAUCCGGGACAUCAAUCUGGAGACUAUGGUCGCCCCUUGUGUGCCCUUCAAAACCUUGAAAAUCCGUGAGUUUGAGACAAUCUAUGUUCUGGUAAUUGAUUGAUAUUAUCUCGUAGCAGGUAUAAAAUUAUGAAUCCACGGUCACUGUUGUAAUCAAUAUCUUUGAUUUUUGUAGAAAAAAAUUGCAAUGAUAUAACACAUAUAUGUUAUGAUUAUGAUGUAUACAGUCUGGAUGGGGCAUGAACACAGCGAAAGAAGAGUACCCGACCGAGGUCUACGAUCUCACUAUUUUUCUGACCAUUCAUUCUUUACUUUCCAUUCAGGUCGAAUCCCAUUCUUUUUUCAUGCUUGUGCCAGGAAAGAUAUGUUAUCAGUGCUUUUUUUUUGGUUGCAGGUGGUUUGCACUUUUGUAGCUAUAAGCAAGUUUCUUAUGUCUAAUUGCCUUAUGAUAUCCAAGUUAUAUAUGGAUGUCCUUAUGUCCGAUGAAUUAGAAAAGGCUUGAUUCCGUACUUGUCACAACCGAUUUGACGAAGUUCUGAGGAAGCUGCACUAUACAUCACGCAGCACAACAGAAGACUACAACGAAGAUCAGAAGUUAGGAGCUAGAGCUGAUGCAUAUUCGGAGAAGUCACAGAUAGAAUGAAGUUCUUUGGAGAAAUAUAUGGAACUUUCUAGGAUCUUUGUUAGAGAAAUUUGAAAUUAGUUUAUGUGGGUGUACAAUUCAGUUGUAAAGUA